UACAGAGGUGCCGAGCGUUAGGCGGAAUCACUGGGCUUAAAGCGCGUGUAGGCGGGUCGUUAAGUGCCUUGUGAAAUCCCACGGCUCAACCGUGGAACGGCUGGGCAUACUGGCGAUCUUGAGGCACCCAGGGGCGAGCGGAACAAAUGGUGGAGCGGUGAAAUGCGUAGAUAUCAUUUGGAACGCCGACGGUGAAAACAGCUCGCUGGGGGUGUCCUGACGCUGAGACGCGAAAGCCAGGGGAGCGAACGGG
rnacentral:rRNA from 1 species